UAACAACAAUAACAUGGGCGGUGGUGGCGGAUUUGGUGGUGGACUAGGAGAUCGAGUCUUCAACGAUGGAAGUGGCGUGCGGUGUCCAGUUCGGUUUUUAUUUCUGAAGCUGCUGCAAACUCUCGUGAUUUGCAGGGCAAGAAGCAUCCGCGGUUCCCGACUCAUGGCGUCCAUAUGCGGGGCCUGCCAUUCAAAGCCACCGAGCACGACAUCAUGAAGUUCUUCAAGCCUCUGCAGACGGUGACCAU